CAAAACUGUUCACCAUUGCCU
rnacentral:siRNA from 1 species